AGUAGAAUGGCCGAGUUUAGGCGAUAAAUUGUAAAUUUAUUUACGGAUAUUAAUCCUUCUACUA
rnacentral:tRNA from 1 species